AGGCGGAGGUUUCAGGGAGCCGAGAUUGCGCCACUGCAUUCCAGCCUGGGUGACAGAGGGAGACUCCAUCUCAAAAUAAUAAUAAUAAUAAUUAAUAUGUUGCUUUAAUACAAGAAAUACAAUUGUGUAUCUUCAGCAUCAGAUAGAUUUCAUGGAGGGUUUGGUUGGGGAAUAUUGUUUGGGAGCUUUUGAACUGUUUCUUCAAUGGGCUACAUCAGUUUCUUUCACUGCAGUAUUUACUGUGGUCUAAGCCACCUUUGUUCUUGAUCUUCAGUGGCCCCCAGCUAGAAUCAUUUUUACUUUCUUGUCUCCCUAACCCCAUUAUGCAAUCUCUGCACAGCAACCAGACUGAUUUUUAAAAUUAAAUCUGACUGUAACUCUCCUAUUUUCUGCUGACUUAGAAUAAAAGCAGGUCCUACCUGUGGCUUCCCAGGUUCUAGGCAUGUCAACCUCCUUUCUCUUAUAGGAACAGAGAAAUCUCCUCCCAGAUAUAGGGUGUUAGAUGUGCUGUGUUUGGCUUUUUUCAUAAUAGAUGCCUUCCCAUCCUUCAGGCUGCAGUUUAAAUUAUCCCUGCUAAGAAAAUCCUUCCCUGACUGCCUACCUAGGUAACUGCCACUUUGUACCCAAAUUCAUUCACCAAACCUUGAAGAACAGAGACUAAGAGCAUAGACUAUGGCCUCAAACUGCUGGGGUUAAAACCCAAGCCACCACUUUCAAGUUGUCUUAUGUCAAGAGAUUCCUUAAUCUUUCUAUCCCUCAGUUUCCUAGUCUGAAAAGUGGGCAUCAUAAUAUCACCUUGUAAGGCUGGGGACUUGAAUAGAUUGAUAUAUGCCAUGCCCGUGGGACAGUCCUGGCUCGUAAAAAUUCCUGUUUUAGGGAUUGAUAUAGUACUCUGUUACUGACUUAUAAAAUACAAAGGAAUAUUAAAUACAUGUUAAUGCUUAUUUUUUAUUUCCACUUAUGCAGUAACAAUGAAUAUCAGGACACAGGGGCCGUAUCUGCCUUUAUUCCACUACUGUGUCUGUAUCUAUGCCUGACACAUAAAAGACACUCAGUAAGUGUUUUAUCGAAGAACUGUGAAUUGAGAUCAAACUUUCAUACACUGUUAAGGCCCAACAUUUUUUGGGGCAGUGGAAUGGCAGCUUCCAAUGGUUAGAAUUAGGUGCAGCUUGCACACUUUCCAGCAACCUCUAUAUAACAGUUGAAAGUGAGAGCAAUUCUGACACCAAAAUCUACCAUGCCUGCAGGCAUUUAUAUAUUUAUUCUGGCACUAUUUUUAAUCACUUACAUACAUAAUGAUAUUUGUCCAGUUCCUUAAAACAGUCUUCAAAAACAGUUCACAUUACCUAUAAUGGCUGAAUAAUUUAAACAUUUAACAUUUUAUUACAAACAUUUUGAUACUUUUUCUGAAUAUCUAUAAUUUAAAACAGCGUGGAUAGUGUGAUGUUGCCCAGGUGUUUAAGGCAAGGGUCAGCAGCUCUUUCUAUAAGGGGCAAAAAUGUAUCUUUAAGCGAGCACAAAAGAUUUCAUCCAGCUAUCUGUCAAAUCAGGUCACACCCAUUUAGGCACGGCUGAUUUUCAGCUGUUAUGCAGCAUGUCAGUUGCUAAGUACUGGUUGUUCAUACCUGUUGAUAUGUAACUACUGUCUGGGUUUCAGAGUGUGUCUGACCUCCCUUAGGAUCUGUAGGUGCUCAAUCUGAAAACCACCAAAGACGGGUAAAUGCUGGCUCUAAAUAUCAUGAAUUUGAACAAUGAGCGCUCAUGGCUUACAUCUACAUUAUGCUAACAAGCCAUUAAUUUCACCCAUGGAAACUCAUUCUAAUGCAAAUUGUUAAAAAUAUCUGCCGUUGAUCAGAUAUAAAAUUAGUCUAAACAGUCUAAGGUAGCCCUCCUCUGGAGAAAGGGACUUCUAACUGGGAAGGGAGUUGGCCAGUCCUGGAGCAAGAGAUUCUCAUUAGGGCAAUUGACUGAGUCUGCAGUGGGGCUUGAACUAGAGCCCAAGGCUGAUUCCAGCCUGCUGCCUGUUUCUCUAUGACCUAUGAGCUAAGAAUGAUUUUUCACGUAUUUUAAAUAGUUGGAAAAAAUUCAAAAGAAGAUUUCGUGACAUGUGAAAAUUAGAUGAAAUUCUAACAGUGCCUAUGAAUAAAGUUUUAUUGGAACACAGCACACUCAUGCCUUUAUACAUUGUGUGUCACUGCUUUGGCACUACCAUGGCAGUGCUGAAUAAUUGGAGAAGAGAUGAGGUUACUCACAAAUCCAAAUAUAUGUACUAUCUGGCCCGUUACAGAAAGAGUUUGCUGACAGUUAAAUAAUUGCAUGGCAAUAUCACUCUAUCCUUGCUAUUUUAAAUUAAAUGAUAGAUAUUCAUAAAAAGUAUAUAAAUAUUUAUAAUAAAAGUGGCAAAUGUUUAAAUAAUUAAUCCAUUACAGACAGUGUGAACUUUAGACAAUGAAGACUGUCUAAAGAACUGGACAAUAUUCAUUAAUAUAGUUAAGUGAUUAAAAAUAGUGUAAGACUUUAUAUAUAAUAUCACAAUUUUAAUAUGUAAUUUAUGUGUAUGUGAUAUUACAUCUGUUUAUAGUGUGAUAAAAAUGGGAUAGAUUAAGAGAUUAUGGGUUUUGUUUUUAUCUAUUGCCUAACAAUUCUAAAUAAGCCUGCCUAAGUAUUAAAAUGAUAAGACAACAUAAGACCAUCAAACUCAUGCAAAGCUAAGUAGAAGGAACUCUGCGUAGUGUUCUUCAUCAGUGAAAUCAAUGUGAAUGUGGCAUUGUUAUGGAAUAAAAAUAUUCCAUAUUUUUCUCAAGAAAUAGAAAAGCAUUAUUUUAAUACAUAAAUAGGAAAAUGUCUCUGAAGACCUUGUUGUUUACCUAUUCCAUUAUAACCAAGGAAAAGAGAAGUGGUAGGGCAUUCUGUUUAUACUUCUUAGUGAUUCUGUAGAGAAUAAUUCAACUCUUGAGCUUCGGUGGAAUGAGAAGUAAUAAACCAAUACACAAGCCACAUAGCUCUCAAAACAAAAGAGAUUUUCCCCUCAUUGCUUGCCAUUGAACAGUAGAUCAGAGAGAUUCUGAUAGGAUAUUAAUUUCCUCUCAGGCCAGUUGCUAGAUACUUGUCUUGAACAAUAAGCAAUGUGACAAGAUAUGACAAAAAUCAGCAUUUUUAAUAACAUACUCUACAAACCAAUUUCCUCCUUUGUGUGAUCCCUUUUCUUCCAGCCUGUGUCUUCCUGGUCUGACCUUUUUCUUGUUACAACCUACUCUAGACCCUGAUGGAAGCUAGUGGUUUUCUAUCUACUUUCUAUUUACUUAACCUCAUCUAGCAUAUUUCCAUUUCUUCUAACUAUUCUGUAACCCUAACAACAUUCAUUGAAAGGUUUGUAUGUAACAUUUUUAGAAAAUGACCUGCUAUGUGCAGUAUUCUUUUGCGUGACUACUGUACCAUAUACAUUUAAGAUGACAACACAUUGGGGUUCCAAGUCCUGUUGUGUAUUUAGUCUCCAUUGGAAUGAAAAUCCUCAAAGCAUAUGUUCAUUUUUUUCUUUUCAGCACAUACUGAUUGGGUGUGUACUGCUUGAAAAAAAUAUUUAUGAUGGUGUUGAGCAGAGAGAGAAGGAGAGAGGAGAGAGAUGCAGAAAUAGAAGGUGUAAUCCUUACAUGAGUACCAUGGAUUCCCUGUUGGAUAUACAAUCCAUCCUCAGUAUUUAAGCAUUUCAUGUUUGUGAGAUUGUGUAUUUGUUAAAAUGCAUUUAUAACACCCCAAUUAACAAACAAGAUAUUCACAGCCCUGUGCAAUGCAUGGACACACAUGUUCCUAACUGAGGCCUCAUAAGAUAAUACUCUGCUUUCUCCUUUCAGCUCUUCUUCUGCAAACAAAUGUGCUUUUCAUAGUCAGUUGGUGCCACAUUUUAGUUUGGUUUUGGUUUUUUCAUUUUCAUGGUGAUUUCAUUGUUUAAAAUAGCCCUCAAUGGUAAUGCUGAUUUGUUAUCUCAUGUUUAUAAGUGCAAGAAAGCUGCAGUAUGCCCUAUGGAGAAAAUAAAUGUGUUCAAUAAGCUUUGUUUCCGCAUGAGUUACAGAGCUAUUGGCCAUGAAUUAAAUGUUAAUGAAUCAACAAUAUAUAAAAAUUAAGAUAUCUUCAAAUAGAAACACCCAUAAAACAAGGUUAUACAUUAAUCAGUUGAUGAAAACAUUGUGACCAAAGGCUUGCAGGAAUGUAACUGUUUAUUUCUCCUAGGAAUGAAAGUUCAGUAUUCAUUAAUUCAGUGUUAUUGACUUUAUUGAAUAAAACUAUCACACAUAACAAGAAUCAGUUGUACUAUGUUUAGGCUGCUACUUAAGUUUAGGGGAAAUUAUUAAAAUAAUUAUUGAUGAUAAUACUAGUUCUCUCA